CAGCUUUGGGUGCUGACGGUGGG
rnacentral:piRNA from 1 species